rnacentral:rRNA from 1 species
AGUGAACGCUGGCGGUAUGCCUAACACAUGCAAGUCGAACGGCAGCACAGUAAGAGCUUGCUCUUACGGUUGGCGACUGGCGGAUGGGUGAGGAAUACAUCGGCUUCUACUUUUUCGUGGGUGAUAACGUAGGGAAACUGACGCUAAUACCGCAUACGAUCUACGGGUUAAAGCAGGGGAUCUUCGGACCUUGCGUGAUUGAAUGAGCCGAUGUCGGAUUAGCUAGUUGGCGGGGUAAAGGCCCACCAAGGCGACGAUCCGUAGCUGGUCUGAGAGGGUGAUCAGCCACACUGGAACUGAGACACGGUCCAGACUCCUACGGGAGGCAGCAGUGGGGAAUAUUGGACAAUGGGCGCAAGCCUGAUCCAGCCAUACCGCGUGGGUGAAGAAGGCCUUCGGGUUGUAAAGCCCUUUUGUUGGGAAAGAAAAGCAGCAGGUUAAAACCCCGCUGUUCUGACGGUACCCAAAGAAUAAGCACCGGCUAACUUCGUG